rnacentral:rRNA from 1 species
UACGUAGGGUGCGAGCGUUAAUCGGAAUUACUGGGCGUAAAGCGUGCGCAGGCGGUUCGUUGUGUCGGCGGUGAAAGCCCCGGGCUUAACCUGGGAACGGCCGUUGAAACUGGCGAACUGGAGUGUGGCAGAGGGGGGUGGAAUUCCGCGUGUAGCAGUGAAAUGCGUAGAGAUGCGGAGGAACACCGAUGGCGAAGGCAGCCCCCCUGGGCUAACACUGACGCUCAGGCACGAAAGCGUGGGGGAGCAAACAGG